ensembl:snRNA U6 U6 spliceosomal RNA
GCGCUUACUUCGGCAGCAUGUAUACUAAAAUUGGAACAAUACAGAGAAGAUUACCAUGGCCCUUGCGCAUGAAUGACACACAAAUUCAUGAAGCAUUCCAUAUUUUU